rnacentral:rRNA from 1 species
ACGUAGGAGACAAGCGUUGUCCGGAAUUAUUGGGCGUAAAGGGCGCGCAGGCGGCCUGCCGCGUGUCUGGUGAAAGCGCCCGGCUUAACCGGGCGAGGUCCAGGCAAACGGGCAGGCUUGAGCGUCGGAGAGGGGCAUGGAACUCCGGGUGGAGCGGUGAAAUGCGUAGAGAUCCGGAAGAACACCAAUGGCGAAGGCAGUGCCCUGGCCGACGGCUGACGCUCAGGCGCGACAGCGUGGGGAGCAAACAGGA